GAUGAACGCUGGCGGCGUGCCUAAUACAUGCAAGUCGAGCGAACAGAUGAGGAUCUUGCUCCUCUGACUUUAGCGGCGGACGGGUGAGUAACACGUGGAUAACCUACCUAUAAGACUGGGAUAACUUCGGGAAACCGGAGCUAAUACCGGAUAAUAUAUUGAACCGCAUUGUUCCAUAGUGAAAGACGGUUUUGCUGUCGCUUAUAGAUGGAUCCGCGCCGCAUUAGCUAGUUGGUAAGGUAACGGCUUACCAAGGCAACGAUGCGUAGCCGACCUGAGGGGGUGAUCGGCCACACUGGAUGUGAGACACGUCCCAGACUCUUACGGGAGGAAGCAGUAGGGAAUCUUACGCGAUGGACGAAAGCGUGACGGAGGACAGCCGCGUGAGUGAUGAAGGUCUUAGGAUCGUAAAACUCUGUAAUCAGGGAAGAACAAAAGUGUAAGUAACUAUGCACGUAUUGACGGUACCUAGUCAGAAAGCCACGGCUAACUACGUG
rnacentral:rRNA from 1 species